CCUACGAGCGGCAGCAGUGGGGAAUAUUGGACAAUGGGGGCAACCCUGAUCCAGCCAUGCCGCGUGUGUGAAGAAGGCCCUCGGGUUGUAAAGCACUUUCAGUGAGGAAGAACGCCUGGUGGUUAAUACCCAUCAGGAAAGACAUCACUCACAGAAGAAGCACCGGCUAACUCCGUGCCAGCAGCCGCGGUAAUACGGAGGGUGCGAGCGUUAAUCGGAAUUACUGGGCGUAAAGCGCGCGUAGGUGGCUUGAUAAGCCGGUUGUGAAAGCCCCGGGCUCAACCUGGGAACGGCAUCCGGAACUGUCAAGCUAGAGUGCAGGAGAGGAAGGUAGAAUUCCCGGUGUAGCGGUGAAAUGCGUAGAGAUCGGGAGGAAUACCAGUGGCGAAGGCGGCCUUCUGGACUGACACUGACACUGAGGUGCGAAAGCGUGGGUAGCAAACAGGAUUAGAUACCCUUGUAGUC
rnacentral:rRNA from 1 species